rnacentral:rRNA from 1 species
UACGUAGGGUGCGAGCGUUGUCCGGAAUUAUUGGGCGUAAAGAGCUCGUAGGCGGUUCGUCACGUCGGCUGUGAAAUCCCGAGGCUCAACCUCGGGUCUGCAGUCGAUACGGGCGGACUGGAGUACUGCAGGGGAGACUGGAAUUCCUGGUGUAGCGGUGAAAUGCGCAGAUAUCAGGAGGAACACCGGUGGCGAAGGCGGGUCUCUGGGCCGUAACUGACGCUGGAGGAGCGAAAGCAUGGGGAGCGAACAGG